rnacentral:rRNA from 1 species
GAUGAACGCUGGCGGCGUGCCUAAUACAUGCAAGUCGAGCGAACAGAUGAGGAGCUUGCUCCUCUGACGUUAGCGGCGGACGGGUGAGUAACACGUGGAUAACCUACCUAUAAGACUGGGAUAACUUCGGGAAACCGGAGCUAAUACCGGAUAAUAUAUUGAACCGCAUGGUUCAAUAGUGAAAGACGGUUUUGCUGUCACUUAUAGAUGGAUCCGCGCCGCAUUAGCUAGUUGGUAAGGUAACGGCUUACCAAGGCAACGAUGCGUAGCCGACCUGAGAGGGUGAUCGGCCACACUGGAACUGAGACACGGUCCAGACUCCUACGGGAGGCAGCAGUAGGGAAUCUUACGCAAGGGGCGAAAGCCUGACGGAGCAACGCCGCGUGAGUGAUGAAGGUCUUCGGAUCGUAAAACUCUGUUAUUAGGGAAGAACAAAUGUGUAAGUAACUAUGCACGUCUUGACGGUACCUAAUCAGAAAGCCACGGCUAACUACGUG